rnacentral:lncRNA from 10 species
AGCCCGGGCGACUAGCCGGGAGACCAGAGAUCUAGCGACUGAAGCAGCAUGGCCAAGCCGUGUGGGGUGCGCCUGAGCGGGGAAGCCCGCAAACAGGUGGAGGUCUUCAGACAGAAUCUUUUCCAGGAGUCCUUUCAUUUUCAGGUCUUCAGUUUCCUCAUUUGCAAGUCUUGGACCCAGUGAUUUCCAAAGGCCCUUCCAGUUCCAUUUGUCAGACAUCUCAUUGAGCAUAUUCUGUGAUUCCCCUCCCUUGCAAUGUAACCCACAGGCUGAGGAAUUCCUCUACAGAUUCUUGCCACA